rnacentral:rRNA from 1 species
UAGGGAAUCUUCCACAAUGGACGCAAGUCUGAUGGAGCAACGCCGCGUGAGUGAAGAAGGUUUUCGGAUCGUAAAGCUCUGUUGUAAGAGAAGAACGUGUGUGAGAGUGGAAAGUUCACACAGUGACGGUAAUUUACCAGAAAGGGACGGCUAACUACGUGCCAG